UAAUAAUUUUUUCCAGGAAUAACCCGGGCUUUUUUCAGGCUGGAUAAAUUCCAGCUCAAGUAAUUACACUUUGCCUUCCUCAAUUCCUCCAAAGGUCUAAUGAAUUCAGGCACUCUUAGCAUAACAUUAUUACAUGCUGCUACUGUACAUGGCUAAACAGCUGUUGUACUUCCCCCCAGUGACAAAUACAUUUCAGCAGUGCGUGAGCUGAUUCCCUUACAUCUCUCUGCUGGGGUGUGCCAGAACGAUUCCAAUGCUCACAGUCCUCCAAGAAAAAGCACACUGGUUACCCGUACUUUUAUCAUGGUCUUGCUAGUCUUGCUCAUCAUUCUUUGUGUUACUGGUUAAAUUCACUUCUAGAUCUUGAACUACCAUAGGUGGGAAAGUCUCAGAGCAAAGCACAGCAUGUUGCCAGAGGUGCCAGGUGCACUGGCAGGCUUUACUCACAUGGCAUAUGUUCUGAAUACCUGAAAGGGCAACCCCCACUGAGGUAAUUAGUUACAUCUGUGUUGCUUGACAGACCUGUGACACCUAUGUUGGCUGGUGUCCAUCUAUAGUGAAAGAAAAGUUUAAAAAUCUAUAGUUACUGGAGAUGGGAAGUUCAUAGCUACAGUACUGCCUAUUCUGCUUUACCUUUUGAAAGCAUUUUAGCCUCUGGUUUUUUGACUAGGUGUCAGUCCAAUCAUUGCAGCAGGAGCAUGUUGCUUUGAUGCCACCAGUUCCCAGUUCUAAUAAUCUAGUGUGACUCCUGAGGUUUGCAAAAUCAGCUGCAGCGCUUAUGCCUGACCCCUGUUGUCAGACUGGAGCCAGAUGUCCCAUUAGAGUCUCACAGAAUAGAGGGCUUUCCAGGCCUUGUUCAGCUUCAGAAAUCUUGCCCUUUUCUUAACCAUGGGGAUAGUGAGGAUGUUUCAAUGUCAGGGUUGAAAGCAACAGCCUCUUUCUUCUGUAGUUCAAACAGCUGAAAAGCAAUCUGAUGCCCAAAUGUGAUGCCAGGCUACAUCAUCUACGUGGGGGGACCUGUGCCCUGCUGGGGCAGCAGCUGACAGCAGGAGGGCUACAGAGAGAGUGAGUCUCAAGAAAAUAAAGAUGAACAUGACAAGGAUCAGAAGGGAAGGUUCUCUACCAUGUGCUUUGCUGUUUGACCUUCAAGGAUCCUUUUGGACAUGCUGUAGGAUUUCCAGUCAUAUGCGUUAACUCCCGUCAUCUGCACUCAGGUCAGCCAGAUACAGUGGGCACAAUUUUUUUGUGGAGCUGCUGUGAGAUGGGAUUAUCCACACUUCUGUAUCUUCUGCACCUGUGGAUGCAUUUAUCUUUCAGCCCACAAGGGGCUCAGUUGAUCUUCUUGCAUUGCUUGAGGGAUAGGAUUUCAGUUGGCAGCUUCUGGGUCAGGCUAGCUUUGGCAUGUGGAGUAGCUCUGGGAAGGAGAUGGUUUAGCUCUGAGUGUCCUGCGUCAGUCUGUCUCUGAUGUCCAUUAGGGUUUCACUGAGUGCUAAUUUACAGCUUCCUUCCUGCAUGGAUGGCAGCUGUCAUCCUACCAGACCCCUCUUCCGACUGUGACACUGACAUCCUCGGUCCAUGACAUGAAGAACUGGAAAAAGGCUGCAGCAGGGAGGUGGUGUGUGCGUGGCCACCAGAGAGCCUGCCUUUCCUGCACGUGCUUCCAGAGUCAGCCAGCUCACAUUUCAACUGAACUCAGUCUGGAGGUGGACAUAUUCAGCACACAUCCUUCCUGGGGAAAGGCUGUCAUCCCUGAGACACUGUUUCCUCCAAGCACAUUGACUUCCAAGUGGUAUGGCGUGUAGAGAGCAAGUUAAAGCAUUAGAAAAAAAGGUUUGGUUUCACAUGUGUUACUGGGCAAAUUGACAUUCUCCAGAGGAGAAUGUAAAUGAGAAUUGGAAUGGUAAAAAAAUGGAAAAAACUCAUGGGUUGAGAUAAAGACAGUUUAAUAGGGAAAGUAAAAGUCACACACAAAGCAAAAUGAGGAAUUUGUUCACUGCUUCCCAUGGGCAGGCAGUAACAGAAACAUCCCUGUGUUAUCAACCCUGUGUUCAGCACAAAUCCAAAACAUAGCCCCAUACUAGCUACUAUGGAGAAAAUGAACUCUAUCCCAGCCAAAUCCAGCACAGAGGCCACACUCUUCUCCUCAGCUUUAGGCGCCUGCAUAAAUGUUGACAAAGUUUUGCACAUAACCUGAAGCAUUUUUAGAGGAGGUGCCUCAUGUGAUCUGGAGUGCUGUCCAUCUCUGGUGCCUCCAUACAGUGUCAAUCUCAUUCAAAAUAGGCUUCAAGGUUAUACCUGCUGGCCCCCUUCCCCUACCAGCACCCAUCCCAGCAGGGGUAGUAGUCAGGGUCUUUCUCUGCCAAGAAGAAGGGGAGUAAGGAGCUGAUGCUGCACUACUCCAGUGCUUGGGGUUGAUGCCAGACAAAAGGUAGCUGGUGCCCAGGCAAACAGCUGAAGGCUUAGUUUUGCAUUACGGGCUGCUCAGACAGAGCUUUAUUUGCUCUUUAGCUUAUGCCAAAUAGGGAAUUCCUCUGGGGAGUAGACACUCAAACUAAUGUUUGCCCCUGGGCUGAGGAUGUGGGGACAUUAAAUCGCCAGUUUCAGGACGACCUUGUGCCUCUGCGUAAUAGUCACAGAGAUCAGUGGAGAUGCAGCUCCCCUCCUCCUCUUCCUCAGCUUUCCUACUCUGUUGUCUCAGUUUCUUCAUCACCCUCUCCUCUUCACCCUUCUCCUUAGUCUGCACAGAUCCAUAUGGCUUUAACAGAAUAUCAUUAACCUGCAGCACUACAGAAGGCUGGUGCUUUCUUAAAAACCUGCCACUGUCUAUUUUUACCCUCUCUGAAGUACAGGCGCCUCAGACCAAGCUGAGGGGGCUGACCUGCUGCUGUGAACUGAUCUUGACUGCUCUAUCCCUGCACAAGUCUUAUCCUGCUGGUGCUUCAGAGAUGCCUUGGACUCCAGGUUGUAUCUUUUCAAACUGUGGUCCCUUAAGAAAUUUGUACAAUACCCUGCCUAAAAUGGGUAGGAGGAAACUUGCCUUUUCAGAUAUGUAUAUGCAAAUGAGGAUGCUGUGAAAUUUGAAUAAGAGUAUGUGGUUUUGCUCUGUUUCUAUAUUUCAAAUUCCCUUCUUGCCCCAUCCUCAUUUAUUUUUUCUCCUGGUUUCACAAAUGUUGUGAGAAAUGAGCUAAUUUGCCUUUACGACACAACGUGGUACAACACAGGUGUACUUGUACACCCUCCCCAGUUCAUUGUAAGUUUGUGUUGUUCACAUGCCUUUUUAAGCAAGAGUCUGAUAAAAGUUUGUAUCAUUAAAAAAAAAAAGGACUCUCCUUUUUUUGUUUCCCUCAAUCUAAGUUGUAUUUUCCUCAUUUAAUGUCUGGAUAAGCAAAUAUUCAUUGCUUUCAUUUCAUGUAGUUGCUUUCUAUUCAAUGAUAAUGAUAUAUUUUCAUGUAGUACUAUGGUAUAUAAGUUGGGAUGAAGGGAGUGUAGAUUGUUUUCUCUUGCAGGCUGAUUGCAAACCUUCUCAACAUUUACCAGUCAUUCUACUGGCAGCCAGUUUAAUCACAUAUUCAUGGUAAGGGAAAGCACAUUGGGCUUCAAAGAUACUUAGAAACUGCCUUUUUGUGAAUGUCAAGUUAUUUUGCCUCAGAAUUAAAAAAAAAAGUCUUAACACUAUGAGAUCCAGCUGGACACCCAACUUUCCAAACUCCAGGAAUGCUAACAUUAAAAUUUGAAGUUAAAUGAAAACCAAAUCUUUAAACCUUAUGAAAUCAUCAAGUUUCAUCUUGAAAGCUAUCUCAAAUGUCUGAAGUUCAAAACUUGCGGAUUGUACUGGUGUGACUGAAAAACUUUUUUUUUGCAGCAGCAGAUUUUCGCUUCAGUGUUCAAACUCUGGAGCAGAGGAACAUAGGGCAUAGUACCAGAUUUGGGCAUUUUAUAUAUCCUCUAGUGAAAAUUGCUUAUAUAACUUGAACACGCAGUUCAUGCCUUGCAGUAUCAUCCUGACUCUGAGGACUCACCAUGGUUGCUGGCUCCCAAAACCAGGCUGUUCCAUAUCGGCUGUUUAAAUGUCUAAAGUACAUUUAUUAAAAAAAAAAAAAAAUUACAUGGGCAGGUGGUUGCUUACCUAGAAAUAACUCUGUGUUUACAGAAAGCCAUGGUUUGAGGGACCUUAUAACUUACUACAAUUUAUUUCUUUCAUGAGCUGGUAGGUACAAAAAAGGCUUCUUUUUCUUCUUUCUCCAGCUGCAACAUAAUGAAGUGGCACACAUCAAAAUCUGCAUUUCCACUGCAUAUAAGGAGCAAGCUUUGCUGUACACAGGGCUCAGCUGUCAUGGAAGAAAGACAGGAUUGAAGUGACCACACACCGUUUUUUAUUCUCUCCCUCACAAUCUCUGCUGGAUCUGGUGCAUUCUUUUUAUAAGAAACUGCUAUUACAGUAGGGUGUCACUUCAAUCCCUGUUCACAGAUGUUACUUCAUAGGUUUUGGUUGUUUUUUUUUUUCACCAUGAGAUAAUUAAAACAUAAGAACAGACAAUUUUGGGAUGGUUAAGUAAAGCCUUUGAGCUCUUUGUACUUCUGUACAAAUUUCCAGGUAAAUUUUUCAGUGCAGAAAUCUGUUCUUGCCUAGGGGUCAUACUCCAGUUCCUGCAGUCCCUGGGUCAGAGUGCUUUUUCUGACUUCAUCCCACCAGGGAAAGCAUGGGUUGUCUCAGUAGUGUUCAUGCCUGCCAUGAAUCUCUUAUUCCAAGGUCCCAUGUUUCUACACUUAGGGCUGUGGGCUCUGAAUAUAUUGUAAUGAAGGACCUGAAGCUGCCUAGGAUCACAAAGUGAUGCCUUGUAAGCUUUGAAAUGCCUCCCAAAGGGUACUACAAGGAUCCUUGUAAGUACUGUCCUGCUACUGUCCCCCUGAGCAGGAUGGAGUCAUCUCUGGUUUUAUUGCUCUCCUUUUGAGGCAAUAGGUACAGUCAUUGUGUGGAAAGGCUGGAAGCUGUGAUCUUAUGACCUAAAAGGACAAUCUGCAUGAAAUUCUUGAAAGUUUUUCCCAAAGAACUCCUCAAGACCAGCGUGUAAUUUUGGAAAGAUUCAGUCCCUUCUGUCAUGGUGUGACUCAGGCUUCAAGAUGCUUUGCAGCAGCAAUGGCCCGACUAGCCAAAUGAGUAAAUGGGAGUUUUUCUCUGAACAAUGGAGCUCAUCUGAUAAUUUUGAAGCAUUUGGACAGUUUUGUUGCAAGUUGCUGUUUUCAAGCUCAGUGGGAGGAUAUAAAAUACAUGACUGAUACAUAACUCUUAGCAUGAGGCACCAGAAACAAGUCAAGAAGGCAAAAUGGAGAGCUAACUUGCUGGUUAUACUUCACAUGCCAAAUGUUCUUCUCAAAACUGGAAGGCAUUAGACAUGAAUGGUCUUGGCUUUGUGUCUGCUGAGCUAAUGGUGUCAGGAAAGCGAGUCAAACUUUAGCUGGUGAAGAUGGACUUGUUUUCUCAGGGGAGGACUGUGGUUGGUUGCUAGCUCUCAGAAUGCUUGUGAGCACAGAAAACUUUCUUACCAGCUCAUCUCUUCAGCUCCUGCUCAGGCACUUCCACAUGCUGCAAAAUGUAUUGAGCACCCAUAGUUACAUCUGAAAAAUGUCAACAGAGGACACAAAAUGCGUUUUCCUGUGUUUGAGAGCCUUUUUAGUAAUUUGGAGUGGCAGCAGGAUGACUGCAGCUGAUGCAAAAGGAAAAGUGUCUGUGGCAGAGCCCUCCACUUCUCUUUCUAUCUCAUUUGAAUGUGAAUAGCCAUUUCAAAAACUGCAACUUCCUUUUAGUGACAAGCUCAUUUAGUGUCGCUGUUCAAUUGGACCAUGUACUGACAUGCAGAAAUUUGAAUUAAAGGGAGAAAACACUUUUUACUACUAAGGAAAAUGACUACAGGACUCCUCCAGCCUUCACUCUGCAUCCUCGGAGACAACACCAAGCUCCUGUGGCCAGUGCCCAGGGCAGUCCCUGGGCCAGGAAGCCGCUCUCCCGCUGCCCGUAGAGAACGAAGCCCCAAGAGAGCAUCACCACGGCAGCCAGCGCCUGCGGGACAAAGCGCAUCGCGCGCUGGCGGCGACACUGCCGGAGUCUCCCCCCGCUUUUACCCACCAGCGUCCGCUGCCUCCACCGAGAGGUGCUCCCAGCCCUGCUUCCCCCGGACACAGGGCAGGACAUCUGCCGCCGCCCGCUCCUGAGCUCGCCCCAGGCGGCACAGGGCGCUCUGUCCCUCCGCCCCGGCGGUGCCACCGCAGCCCCGCCCCGGCCCGCGCUCAGCGGAGGCUCCGCCCCGGAACACGUCAUCGCCGGGCGCGGAUAUGACGGGGCGGCGGCGGCGCCUCUGUCCCGGCGGGGCUCGGCGCUGCUCCGCGCCUCGGGAGGAGCAGUUCCCGUGGCAACGCCGCCCAUGGCGGACCCGUCCCGGCGCCUGGCGGAGGCCGCCCGCCGCCGCCGCCGCCCGCCGGGGGAGGAGCGGCGGGAGCCUCCUGGCGCCGGGCGCUGCCGGACCCGCCACAGGCUGAAGGCGGCCGCGGCACUGGCCCGCGCGGGGAGCGAGGGACCGGCGGCGAACAUGACUUCAGUAGAUAAAGAGUUUGCAGAAGACAGCAACUUUGCACCAAAAGCCAGCACCAGCAAGCUGCCAACAGAUGCAUCUCCUGACUCCAAAUGCCCCAUCUGCCUGGAUAGAUUUGACAAUGUUGCGUAUCUAGAUCGCUGCUUGCAUAGGUUCUGCUUCCGCUGUGUCCAGGAGUGGUCAAAAAACAAAGCAGAAUGCCCCCUCUGCAAGCAACCGUUUUUUUCCAUUUUCCAUACAAUUCGUGCUGAAGAUGACUUUAAGGAGUAUGUACUCAGCCCUUUAGAAAACAGCUCUUUUGCCAGCCCCGAUGGCCGGAGAUUUCGUUACCGUACUACCUUAACAAGGGAACGCCGCAAUCGCAGUUCCCCUUCCCGAAGGAUGCUGUCCCCUCCGGAUAAUGGGAUGUUGUUUGAAGGGUUGUCAAGCGAACCAGUGCGUCACAGACACCGAGAGAUUCAUCAGAUGAUGAGGAGGCUGGCCUCAAGGAGGCAGGCUAGCGCAGAGGGCAGAUCUCUGCGGCAGAUUCAGGAGGAGGACAUGAUCAACUUCCGCAGAGCCCUCUACCGUACUGGUGUGCGUAUCCGCGGCAUUCAGGAUGGCGGCCGCUAUCGAGACAUCUCCGCAGAGUUUUUCCGCCGCAACCCUGCCUGCCUUCACCGGUUGGUUCCUUGGUUGAAGCGAGAACUUACAGUCCUGUUUGGUGCCCAUGGAUCUUUGAUUAAUAUUGUACAGCACAUAAUCAUGAGUAACGUGACUAGGUAUGAUCUCGAAAGUCAGGCCUUUGCUGAUGAUUUAAAGCCAUUUUUGCUGAAUCGGACAGAACACUUCCUGCAUGAAUUCAUCAGUUUUGCUCGUUGUCCUUUUAACUUAGAAGCAUAUGAUCAACAUGCCAAUUAUGAUUGUCCUGCACCAUCAUAUGAGGAAGGAAGCCAUUCAGACUCAUCAAUUAUUACAAUAUCUCCAGAUGUGGCAUAUUCUCAAGGGCCAGAUAACAGUUCGUCUGUGCCUGGUCUUGGUCAGGCCCCCUGGGAUGAUGAAACUCCAGGGCCUUCCUAUUCCGUUUCAGAAGAGGUUCGUGCAACCAUAGCUUCUCCUCUGGAGUCAUCAGAAAGUUCUGAUGAGGACUCUGCUACAGGGAGUCAAAGAACCAAACUGCAGACUCAGUUACAGGCUAAUGUUGACUCAAAUGACAGUGGCUCUUCCUCGGACAAUUGUGUCAUUGUUGGGUAUGUAAAGCCAUUAGCUGAGAGGACACCAGAAGUGGUUGAACUGUCCUCAGACUCUGAGGAAUCCAUCAGGGAAGAGAAAAGGGAGGAUGUCAAGAAACAGCGUCCAGUCCAGUGUCACAGCUGGAGUGACAGUGAACGAAGCAGGAGCUUCUCGCCGUGUUCCCCAACGUAUAAGGAAGAUGCAGGUAGUUGUAGAAGCUGUUUAUCUCCUACAGUUGAGAAGACAGAGUCAAAAGAAGAUGUGAAGAAAAAAUGUAAGGGAAAAGAUCUGCCUCCACGGGACUUGAGCUGGAGCCCCUCUCCAGGGAGUGACACAGUGUGUUCCCCUUGGAAUCACAGGAAGGGAAAGUCUAGAAGCCCACAGUCCUGUUCACGGAGCAGUCGAGGCAGUCAUGGCCAUCGGUCUAGGAGGGAGCACCAUAGCAAAAGCCAACUUAAAAGGAGACGAUCAAGAAGCAGAGAUAGCAGCAAACACAGGAGCAAAAGAAGCAGUAGAAGGUCGAGGGCUCGUGACAACAGAGCCUCUCUGAAAAGCCAGAGGGGCUCUCUGAGUGGUGAGAGCACUCCAUCCAGAGAAUUAAGCAGAUCACGAUCAUGUAGCAAAGGCUACAGUAAAAGGAGAUCAAGAAGUAGAGACAGUGAUCGGUAUUAUGUAAGAGACAGUUAUCAAAGUAGACAUCAGUGGGGUUCUGCUUUCUGUAGUAGAAAGGUGUUUGGGGAUAGCUAUGAAUCCUCCAGUAGGAGGAGGACACGAUCUAAUACUCUCUAUUCGAGGCAAUCUGCUAGUCCAGAAUACAGGAUACGGUCAUUUAUUGAAAGGACAGACCUGCAUAGCCAGAGGGGACUCCAUGAGAGACACUAUUAUUGUUAUGAAAGAUGCAGGUCAAGGAGUCGGUCGAGCAACAGGUCAAGGACUCCUUCUGGAGGAACUGACAGAAUGAAAAGCGAAAAGCCUGGUGGAAAAAGGAAGUACAAAACUCGCCACCUGGAGAAUGCAUUCAUGGAGAGCAUAAGUCUAGAAAGAGAAAAUGACCCCAAGAAAACUUCCUCAAAAUUCAGUGACUGCUGCAAAAAUGAAGAUAGCCCAUCAGACAAUCGAGCAAGUAAUGAGACAAAGCGUAAAAAAAGGAAAAAGAAGUUGAGGAGUCCAAGUGUGGAGAUAGUCUACGAGGGAAAAGCAACAGACACAACGAGGCAUCUUAAAAAAAAAAAGAAAAAGCAUAAGAAGAAACACAGGAAACAUCACAUCAGUAACUCAGCACAUUCUUCUCCAGUGGUGAUUACAAUUGAUAGUGACAGUAGCAAGGAGCCAGAAAGUACUGAAUGGGACACCAGUAUUACAUGGACAGGCACAACUCUGAAAAAUGAGGGGGAAAAUGAGUCUCCAUCUUCUUUCCUGAGGACAAGAUGUGAGGAAACUGGAGAAGCAGACAAAAAGUACAGUAUCCCUUCCACAAGGGAAGACUUAGAUGGUGACAUUAGAAAUGCUGAUGUCAAACUUCAAGGAACAGCAGCUGAUCAGAGUGUUAUCACAGCAGAUGCCAGCAGUAACACCUCUCACACAGAAACUGUAACCAGCUAUGUUCAGGAAGCACCAGCAGCGCCUUCCAGUCAACUAUCUUCCCCCAGGAUUUCCUUCCCAGAGCAUCCAGAGAGACAACCAUUGAUACUAAGACUGCCAAAGAGACUUGUCAACAAAUCCUCUUGGUUUGGUUUCCCAGAAGAAAAAAUGUAGCACACUUUCCACGGAACAUUUCUUGAAAUUGUGAAUUUAACUACUUUUUUUUUUUUUCCCCUUAAGAACUAAAAUAUCGGGUAGGAUUUCUCUCUGUUAAAAGAUGUCUGGGAAAUGUGUAAAACCUUUGAAUGUGUAUGCACUUUUGAGUCGAAGAAGAUAGAGUAUUGCUAGUAUGUAACUUUAAAAGUUUUUUUUUGGAAGACUGUUUAGAAAUUGUAAUUUUAUAAAGCCAUCCACAGUAUUUCAAAGUUUUGCUUAAACCAAAUGAUAGAAAAGGAGCCCAAACCAAAAGCCAGAAAAUUAAUUUUAUGGGGAUUGCCCUUCUUAGACAAGGGAAAAAAUGUUUGGUUCAUAAGAAAUUAUUCAGUCUGAAUUCCAGCAUCAUUUCAAUUUCUUUGGUUUAAGCUGAUCUCUGCUGAAAAGUAGUCAGUGAUUUCUACAGAGAUCCUCAGAGGACUUCUAGUAAUUUCAAGGUGAUGUUCCUUUGUGAUGGGUAAUUUCCAGCACUGCUUCUUCAGUUGUCACAGGUGAAAACUCAGCAGGAAUCACACAGAUAAUUAAAUACAGUGGAUCAUCACAAGCUCGUGAUCAAGCUGUCUUCAGGCUUAUUGAUUGCUACAGAGCAGUGGUGGAAAACAAUACUGGUGUACAAUUCAAAGGAAAACAGCCGGCACCACAACAAAGAUUACCAAAGAACAAAUCGAUGUCACAAAAUACCCUUACCAUGUCCUGUAGUGAAAUAGGUGAAUAAUGAUGCCAUCUCCUACACAGCACUAAGCAGACAUGUUGAAAAUAGUAUGCAGCAUAGUACCUGUCUUGUAACCACCGCUACCAGAGAGAUGGUUUCUUAUAAAGACACCUCAUUGUCACCAAUUAGAUUAUCAUUAUCAGUGCCACUUCCACAUAUAUUUCCUCCAGCAAUAGUAAUGUAAUUGAAAAAAUGAAAUUUAGCCUUUGCCCAUGUAGAACUACUCUGUAAUAGCAAAUCAGUUGUUCUAACUAAUUAUGCUGAGCCAGAGCCCUGACAUCUUUAGCACACUUUCUGGGCGUGCUUUCUCCUCACCCCAUGUCAGGCUGCUGGAUUUCUAAAUUCAAAGAACAUAUAUGUUGUUUGGAGGGAAUAUGGGUGAGGUGUGAGUAUAUAGGAGGGUGUAGAAGUAGUGUUGAGGAAUACAUUUGGUGCAGGUGGCUCGAUGUGCAACCUACAGAUUGAGCUCUUGGGGGCAGGAGCCCCAGCUCAAGCUCCAGGCGAGAAAGAGGUGGUGAACUGCUUACCCUUUGCUUAACAAAGGGCACAGGGACCGAGGGACCAGACACUCAGAGACACAGCAGGAGCCAAGGACCCCUAGACUUUCCCAUCAUUAGAGUGUGAGGGUGUAAAAGCCCAGGGUUUCCUUUGUUCAGAGUCCCUUCUGAGAGGCACCAGCUCAAGGUGUUAGUUUGUUACUUAGUUAUUGUACCAUGAUUAAAUUAUUUUAAGGAUCUAGUCGCCUGUGACUCUGCUAUGGGAAACCUGAGGUCGAGCUGUUAAGGAAACUGGUCUGGGUGUGUGAGUAUGGGGAGUGUAGCUGGGGGGGACCUGGGUCCCAGCUCAAGGUGUGAGAGUGACUGGCUGAGUGGCUUCUGGAUGAUUGAACAGAGAAGUUUCCUUAACGGUGGGAAGGAAUAUUUCUUUCCUUACACACAGCAUGGGACAAUGAGAUGAAUUUACAUACCUCUCCUUCCUAAAAAAGGUGUCCUAGGGAGCUAAGAGUUUUAUAAAUUUAAGUGGAUUUAGGAUGACUGAUGGCCUUGUGUUUAACUGACUGCCUUGGCCUAUUUCCCCUAUUCAAGUUUGUCACUUGAAUAUUGUGCUAUUUAGUGUGAUUCUAGAUGGAUAUGGAUGUCUAGACUUUUAGCUGAGUAGAAGUUAUAUACAUAUCAUGGAAGAUCUGGGCUUCUUCAUUAGAAGAAUUGACUUGUUACAGCCAUCUUUUGGCAUCCCAGAGUUUGAGAUAAAGAAUAGACACCAGCAGCAAAGCUCAGCUUCUUGUCAGGAGAUCGUAGGCUCUUCUGCAUGUUCUGUGUACAUAGAGUACUUAAGUGGUGAUCUUAAAAACAUAAAAAAACAGUUCAUAGUCUAAUCUCUGAUGGUUCCUAGAAGUGGUCACCCAGUCUCCACAGAUGCUAAAAUAGAAUUGGUUAUCUGAGAGUAAUGCAAGAAUGAGGAAAAUUUAUGGUAUCCUGGGCAUCUACAGCACAAGAGCAUCCCAAACCAGCAUUAUGAAAUCAAAUAGGUGAAUAACUGUUGUAAGAUACAUCACCCUGCCUGGGCUGUUUGUUUUUAGUAGUAUUUUGCAGCUAAAACCCACACACAGUUAUGUAGAUGCAUUUGUUUACACUUAAUCAAGUUGUUCCUGAAGGGACAGUGGAGGUCUUGCAUGGAACACCUUCUUCCCUGUUGAAACAUCAUAAAGAAGCUCAUAAAUAAUAAAUUUUAUCAAUGAUUAGCAGCAUCUCUACAAAUGCCUAAGAGCUAUAGAGCUGACAUUUUCCCUCUGCUGUCUCUUCUCCUAUUUAUUAAACCUUUUCUCCUUUUAGCACCUUUUCCAUUUAUUUUUCUGCAUGUACCCUAAACUUCUCCAAUAUUUGAUAGAUAGGGCAACAUGGAGAGAGCAUGAACUGUGUGAAGGUAAUGUCAGAGCCCUGAGGGCAUUGCGUUCCAGGCCUCUCCCUGUGUCUCCUCUAUCCUCACACACUGCAGCCCUGUAGUCUGGGGUUGUGCUGCUGCUGGCAGAGGUGUCAGGGGCUGUGCUUGGGCCCUCCCCAGCACGUGGGAGCUGUGCAUCAGCUCAAUCCCUCUGUUUUGUCCUUGUGCCCAAGCUGCCUGGCUCCUCUGCCAAGCAGCCAGCUCUUGCCGAUUGCCAGUAUUUCGUGGAGAUGCAAACUGGUUGAGCUUCCAGUUACCUGAGCUUUGUGCUACCUGCCUUGAGUCUGGCUGUGUCCUGCUCGAGUUCCAGCUCCUGAAGUACUAUAUUGUCAGUGCUACUAAACAUUGGUCUAAGAGGAGAAGCUAGAAUACUGUCAUGAGAAGGUUUUGUGUCAGCCCUGCCAUGCUUUCAGGUUGUCAUUCUGUGCAGCCCUUGACUAAAAUGGCCAGGGAAGCAAAUGUCUCCACAAUGGUGGAUAAUUGAAAGGUCUUUUUCUUUGAAUUGUGUGGAAUUUCAUAGCAUUUUUGUAAGUAAUUUUCUUCUCUUUUAGUAUCUUAUGUGAUGUUUGCACAGCACAAGAUAAAAAUGUAUCCUCUGUCCUCACACCUCCUUCUGCUGGAUGGACACAGACAUAGGGACUUGAUUACCUUUAUAUGUAGUUUUUAUCUCCAUCUCCUCCUCUUAAGCCUUCUCAUGUUUCUUGGUUCCAGUACAUCCUCUGCAUGAUUAACUGAUCCAUCUUCAUCAGUUUUCCAUCUGAUUAAAGUAUUGUCACACUGUAUAAAUACAGUGCUUACUGGACAAUAUCAUUUUAAGAGGUAUUACAUAUUGCACAUUCUGGAUUCAUAAUAGCUGCUUUUUAUUACCAGCAGUAUUAAUCUUUAAUCUGCUUGGCUGCUUUUCUUUCAGGAAAGCAAGAAACAGAUCUGAGAAUUUUAUCUCCAGUACAGUUUUGAUCUUCUUGCUUCCAGUCUGUGGUUAUUAUUUGUGCAGUCUGGGUAUGUGACUAGCGAGUUCUGGUGAACUAGUUGUUUGGGAUGUUGUAGAUGGCUUUGAAAUACACUUUGUAUGCCUUGGAGUGUACUGGUGUGCACAUUUCCAAGCCUUUCUAGGAGUAUUUUGAUUUCUGACUCAGGUCUUCAUGGUCAUGAACUAGUGACUGGUGAAUGAUUUGUCUUUUGAUUGUGCUGAAGUCAUGAACAGAGCCAGCCAGAGGCUGGCAAUUCUGUUUACCAGCAAGAAGUUUCCAAGUUUGGGUUUUCCACAUAUUUGAGCAAAACAGUGACUUUUUGCAAGGCCUUCAUCUGUCUGAACUCUUCAGCUGUGCAGCGAUGCAGAAAGUACCUCUUCUUUUGCCAAAGGGGUACAUAUCUAAUACUAAAACUGUUUUUUUCCUGGUCUGUCUAAGCCUCCAUUGGAAGUGUCUGGACAAUGCUCUCAAACACAUGCUAUGAUUCUUGGGGUUGUCUUGUGCAGGGCCAGGAUACUUGUAGGUCCCUUCCAACUCAGGAUAGUCUAUGAUUUUGUGACUUCCAAAUCCACAUCUCACAGCGCAGGAAAGGAGAAAGGUGAUCUGAUUUCUUAGCCAAGCCGUGACAGCCUGCAUUCAGGAGGAGAGGCUGGGAGACUGAUUUUUAGCAGGGACUCAGUGGCACCAUCUCCAGUCCAGCCCUGACUCAAGCUGCCAGUCAACCUGGACUGAGUUGAGAAGAAACUCUCAUCCCAAAUUUCUUGUAUGCAAGCAGUUAAGUUCAUGUCUCCCCUAAGGUUUUCCAUGGGAUUAUAAAGCUAUGGCUUUGCCUCCUCCUUCAAGACUGCAUCUCUGCUUACAUCACAGCUUCUCUGAAGCUUGAAUUACUUUGAAAAUAGUCUUUCUAGUUCUGAUCACUCUUAAAAAUGUAAACAAGCAGGAGUGUCAUCUGCUGAAACAAAAGUCAGCCAGCCUUCGCUUCUCAGCUUUUGCUGCCCUAUCUGUUACGCCUGUCACAACAAGUUGUCAGACUGUCACAAUAAAUGGCACAAGUUUAGGAUGUUUUGUUUAGCCUUUGUAUGAAAUACUUUCGAGCACAUUGUAGUAGAGGAGUAUAAUUAAAGUAUAGCAAAUUAAUUCUGAAAGAGGGUAAUAAGCUACAUGGUAGUUUAAAAUUGUUAUAACAGUAUUUUCUCUUUAGUUUUUGGUUACUUGGAAGGACUGUAAAUUGUCAUAGGUUAUUGCAGUUGGGAAUACUGAAGAAAUAAAUAUUGAUUAGAAACUUAGUGCUUGAAAGCCAGCAAACUAAGAAUGUGAAGAUUUUACUUACUUACUUAAAUUACUAAAUUGAUAAUUACUGCUCUUAUGCAAGUCAAGAUAGUGCAGCCUACCAAAUAUUCACCCCAUUAGAGGAAGAAAACCUGGUGUCUGUUCCAAGAAAUAAAAAUGCCUAACCAUUUUUAAAAAUUAGUAUAUUUUCCAUUAAGUAUUCCUCUUCUGUCUGAUUUUCCACAGAAACCUGUCAUUUUUCUUUCCCUUCUUUUUUAUAUCCUGGAGUAGUCUCGGAGCAGAGAUGUAAUUUUGAUUUGAGUUCUCACUACUCUUACAGAUGCUGAUGUGUCUGUGGCCCUUUUUAAGGUCUGUCACCAUUUAUCUGACCUAACUCUACUGCCAUCCCUUGUGCGCUUUGACAUCACUCAGCACUGUCAGGAUCAAACUCUUCUAAAGCCAUACUGUUCAAACCCACCUUCAUCUCCCAAAUCAUCACCAUCAGCAGCAUGGGCCACUUGUCAUUCAGAUCUAUGACCUUGGUCAGCCUGGAUCCUUCCUCAUCUUGGACCAUAGUUACCUCUUGUUCCAGACAAAUGCUUUCAGAGGGACUAUCCUUUCCUAUGCAGAGGACUUCCCAUCCAUGUCCUUCGAUUUCUCUGUCUUGACGUCCUUAUACAAAGACAUAGAUAUUCACAGAGCUCUGUGGCUGUGCAUUGUGUCCAAGCAGUGUUCAGAGCUCCCAUGAAAUCUCCUGUUUCCUUCUUCCCUAUUAGUUUUCUCUAUUAGUCUUUUCCCCACUCCAUACUUUCUUCCUACGACCAGCACUACCAAAUAUAUAGACAUGACAAGGCAGAAUAGCAAUCUAAAUGUUUAGAUUAUAAUUUUUUACAUUAAAUUAAAUUUAAUCUUUGAAUGUAUUUCCCUUUGGUGUUUUGGUUUUCUUUUUCUAAUCUCUGUUAUUUUUAACUAAAGUUGUUCAUUUACGGAAUUGCAGAAUUGCUGUGAUUUGUGGGCACCUCUGAGAUCAUCUAAAUGAUCCAUCAAAGCACGGUCUAUUGCAGCAGGUUGCCCAGGACCAUGACCAGUCAGGAUUUUCAAAGCUCCAGGAAUGAAGUCUUCAGAACCUCUCGGAGCUCAACUGCUUGACCACCCUCACCACAAAAGUGUGUUUUUUUUAAAUGUUUAAGUGGUGUUUAUUUUGAUUCAGUUUGUGUUCUUUGCCUCUUCUCUGCUCACUGGAUACCCUUCUUCUUCUGUCUUUGUUACCCCUGUGUGGUUUAUAUACACAUGUGUACAUGUAUAAUCCUCCCUUCAUACACACCCCCCUCCCCUUCUCCAGAGAGAACAACUGCAGCUCUCUGAGCCUCUCCUGACAGACAAGUUAGCUAAGUUAUUGCACAAGAAUGUAUAUGAUUCUGAAAUUAUAUUGACCCAAAGCACAGAAGAUCCCUGCUCAGCCAAGCUGGCCUUCUGCCUUACCUGAUUGACUUCUCACAUUUGGGAAUUGCUGCUUCUGUACCUAAACGAGGUGAUGUUUGAAAAGCACUGAUGGACCCCAGCACCUGCAAAAACAUUUUCCCAGGGGACCUUGCUUACUAAUUUCCUGAGCGACCUGAAUGAAUGUGCUCUCCUUGUGUCCAAAGCUGAUGUUUUGAUGGCACUUUUCCUCCUGUCAACAGAGGUUUUAAACUUGAUCACUUCAGUGGUGCGAAGGGGCACCAGAGUAAAUCAGUCGUGUUGAAGAAUGAGGGGAUAAUCUAUCUGGAUAUCAGUGCAGAUUGUUUUGGAUUAGGACCCCUCUGUUUAAAUAAAAUUGUUGCCAUUUCUGAAAUUUGAA